CUCCAAAGUGCAUAUUGCUGAUAUCAAAUAAUCUAUAUGCAAAGUCAUACCAUCCUAAAUAUCCCCUCCAAAUACGAUGGAAAUUCAGUUAGCUCACUGGUUUGUUUGACAACAAACCAUUUCCAUUUUAAUGAUUACAGCUAUUUCAAUUAAUGGAAUGCAGAUUUCAGUUGAUAUGGUUAAAGGAAAGAUGAAAUAUUGGACUUAAGAGAUGAGAAGUGAAAUCCCUGUGUAAUUUAUGACACUGUCUUUCAUCCCAGAAAUACAUAACAACAACAACAACAACAACAACAACAACAACAACAACAACAACAACAGUUUAUUUAUAUUCUUCCCUAUCUCCCCAAAAGGACUCAGGGCAGCUUCCAACGACAAUGUCUUUUCCUCACAGAAGGAAAAAAGAUAUGCUGUGCAAAGUGUGGCAAAGCAAAAUAAAUAGACUGCUUCUAAUGUUAUCCUUCAUAUAAGUGUGGUAUAAUGAGAAAUGCCUUCAAGAGUCUAGCAUGAUAAUAGGAGCUUUGCAGUUGCCGCCAAAUCCCUUGCACAGAUUGAAACCAUUCUGAUUGACAGACCCAAAAAUAGCCUUAUUAUCAGCUUUUGCGUCUCUUAUUAAAGAACAGAGCUGCUGUGUGCUAUCACUAGGAGGGAGGGACUGAAGGAGGAGAGGGAAAGAGGGAUUUUGUUACCUUCUUGCUUUAAAGAAACUUUGAUCAAUGUCAGAGAGCAGGAACGUGGAAUGUUAUUAGCAGUAGAUGCGUUGACUCUCCUUCGGCAAAAAUUUCUGGGGAAAUGCAAUCAAGACCAUUACCUCACCUAGUCAUGUGUCAGUGCAUCUGCUUCAGGAGACGAGCCAGGCCAUGUUAAGUGCAGACUUACAGCGAAACCCAAUCUGUCAAGCUGGCAGAAAUGAUGUUAGCAAAUGGCAUUUCAGGCACUAGGGAGUUCGGCAUGCUCAGCAGGAGGAACUAAUAAAAAGGAGAAGACACCAACCAUGCCCCCUGGAUAGACAAGGCUUCGUUAUUGAUAUGAGGGAAAUCUCAUCUCGGAGGUGGGUGCUAUGAAGAGUUGGGCAAGGGCUGCUACAACUGGAGACUCUUACUGGAUCAAAAGGUGUACAGGACUGUCUUUGGAAUAAAGUAGGCCUAAAGGAAACCUGCAAACAAGAUUCUGUGAAACCUAAUACUUCCCAGACACUUCCCUGCCUUCAAUUUACCCCAGUAAAAUCAUCCAAAUGCUAGUGAGCAUGCUUUGUGGUGCAGAAGUAUUUCCUUAAAUGCAUCUUUCUUCUGGGUUUGUCUCAAUUUGUCUCAGCAGACUGUGUUUUUAAAUACAUAUAGCUACUAUUGUUUUCAUGAAGAAAAGCUGUUGUUUUCUUGUUGAAGUAAUUGUAGGAGCAAUCUGACAAAUUUUGUUUUGUUGUUUACUUUGUCUUUUUCAAAUCUAUUAAGAUCUUCCUGAGUCCUAA